CAGCAGCCGCGGUAAUACGGAGGGGGCUAGCGUUGCUCGGAAUGACUGGGCGUAAAGGGCGCGUAGGCGGUUCGUACAGUUGGAUGUGAAAUUCCUGGGCUUAACCUGGGGGCUGCAUUCAAUACGUGCGGGCUUGAGUGUGGAAGAGGGUUGUGGAAUUCCCAGUGUAGCAGUGAAAUGCGUAGAGAUCGGAAGGAACACCGAUGGCGAAGGCAAUCCCCUGGGCCUGCACUGACGCUCAUGCACGAAAGCGUGGGGAGCAAACAGGAUUAGAUACCCCGGUAGUCCCUGUCUCUUAUAC
rnacentral:rRNA from 1 species